rnacentral:rRNA from 1 species
GCCGUACCAUGCUGAAUAUACCGGUUCUCGUUAGAUCACCGAAGUUAAGCAUCAUUGGGCGCGGUCAGUACUUGGGUGGGUGACCACCUGGGCACACU